GCUAGCGUGGUGUAGUGGUUUGAGUGUUGGAUUACGACUCUGGAGAUCAGGAUUCGAUUCCCUGCUCGGCCA